GCGAGAGUAGCACAAUGGUAGUGCACUAGCUUCCCAAGCUAGCUACGGGGGUUCGAUUCCCCUCUCUCGCUCCA
rnacentral:tRNA from 1 species